UUUCUUCGGCGGAGUCUGCACCAAUCGCAGCGCCUCGAUUGCAGAAGAUGCACCACAUACCUACAGCGGAGCACUUACGGUCGCUCAUGAAAUAGCACAUUCACUCGGGGCAAGUCACGAUGGUGAAAAUGUGACGCUUCCUUUUUAUGGCUAUCCAAAUGCGCUAAACUGUUCGGCAAAAGAUGGAUACUUGAUGAGACCAGAAUACAAUGGAGAAAAGGGCUUUCAAACUGCACAAAGGCCCAAAUCAAGUUUCUUGUCGGUACAUUACCAGAGUCUUGCAUCGAGGUACGUAAUGAAUCGAACUACCCGAAUGAGUUUUAUCCCGGGCAAAACAUAACAUCGGAAAUUAUUUGUAAAAAUAUGCAUCCACAAUAUGAAGACGU